rnacentral:rRNA from 1 species
AGCGAACGCUGGCGGCAGGCUUAACACAUGCAAGUCGAGCGGGCCCUUCGGGGUCAGCGGCGGACGGGUGAGUAACGCGUGGGAACGUGCCUUCUGGUCUGGAAUAACCCUGAGAAACUAGGGCUAAUACCGGAUACGCCCUUUUGGGGAAAGGUUUACUGCCGGAAGAUCGGCCCGCGUCUGAUUAGCUAGUUGGUGGGGUAACGGCCUACCAAGGCGACGAUCAGUAGCUGGUCUGAGAGGAUGAUCAGCCACACUGGGACUGAGACACGGCCCAGACUCCUACGGGAGGCAGCAGUGGGGAAUAUUGGACAAUGGGCGCAAGCCUGAUCCAGCCAUGCCGCGUGAGUGAUGAAGGCCUUAGGGUUGUAAAGCUCUUUUAUCCGGGACGAUAAUGACGGUACCGGAGGAAUAAGCCCCGGCUAACUUCGUG